rnacentral:rRNA from 1 species
UACGUAGGGACCGAGCGUUGUCCGGAUUCAUUGGGCGUAAAGAGCUCGUAGGCGGCUAUUCAAGUCGAACGUGAAAUCUCGGAGCUCAACUCCGAAACUGCGUUCGAUACUGGGUAGCUAGAGUCUGGUAGGGGGAUCUGGAAUUCCUGGUGUAGCGGUGGAAUACGCAGAUAUCAGGAGGAACACCGGUGGCGAAGGCGGGAUCCUGGGCCAGUACUGACGCUGAGGAGCGAAAGCGUGGGGAGCAAACAGG